GACGAACGCUGGCGGCGUGCCUAAUACAUGCAAGUCGAGCGGAAUGAUGAAGAAGCUUGCUUCUUCUGAUUUUAGCGGCGGACGGGUGAGUAACACGUGGGCAACCUACCUUGUAGAUUGGGAUAACUCCGGGAAAACCGGGGCUAAUACCGAAUAAUCCAUUUUGCUUCAUGGCGAGAUGUUGAAAGACGGUUUCGGCUGUCACUAUAAGAUGGGCCCGCGGCGCAUUAGCUAGUUGGUAGGGUAAUGGCCUACCAAGGCGACGAUGCGUAGCCGACCUGAGAGGGUGAUCGGCCACACUGGGACUGAGACACGGCCCAGACUCCUACGGGAGGCAGCAGUAGGGAAUCUUCCACAAUGGACGAAAGUCUGAUGGAGCAACGCCGCGUGAGUGAAGAAGGUUUUCGGAUCGUAAAACUCUGUUGUAAGGGAAGAACACGUACGAGAGUAACUGCUCGUACCUUGACGGUACCUUAUUAGAAAGCCACGGCUAACUACGUG
rnacentral:rRNA from 1 species